rnacentral:tRNA from 1 species
GGGGAUGUGGUUCAGAGGUAGAGCUGCCUGCCUAGCAUGCAGGAGGCCCUGGGUUCAAUCCCUAUUACCCCUA